rnacentral:rRNA from 1 species
UCUGGUUGAUCCUGCCAGUAGUCAUAUGCUUGUCUCAAAGAUUAAGCCAUGCAUGUCUAAGUACAAACCUUAAUACGGUGAAACCGCGAAUGGCUCAUUAAAUCAGCUAUGGUUCCUUAGAUCGUCUCAUCCUACUCGGAUAACUGUGGAAAAUCUAGAGCUAAUACGUGCUUACAAGCCCUGACCUCACGGGAGGGGCGCAUUUAUUAGAUCAAAACCAAUCGGGGCUUGCCCCGUCUGCUUGGUGACUCUGGAUAACUUUUGUGCUGAUCGCAUGGCCUCUGCGCUGGCGACGUAUCUUUCAAGUGUCUGCCCUAUCAACUUACGAUGGUAGGUGAUAUGCCUACCAUGGUUAUAACGGGUAACGGGGAAUCAGGGUUCGAUUCCGGAGAGGGAGCCUGAGAAACGGCUACCACAUCUAAGGAAGGCAGCAGGCGCGCAAAUUACCCACUCCCGGCACGGGGAGGUAGUGACGAAAAAUAACGAUACGGGACUCUUUUGAGGCCCCGUAAUUGGAAUGAGUACACUUUAAAUCCGUUAACAAGUAUCUAUUGGAGGGCAAGUCUGGUGCCAGCAGCCGCGGUAAUUCCAGCUCCAAUAGCGUAUAUUAAUGUUGCUGCAGUUAAAAAGCUCGUAGUUGGAUCUGAGGACUCGAAUUGGUGGUGCACCAUACGGUGUUACUGCCGAUUCGGCCUACCUAGUCGGUGCUCGCUCUUGGUGUUCUUAAUUGAAUGCCCUGAGUGCCCGGCAAGUUUACUUUGAAAAAAUUAGAGUGCUCAAAGCAGGCCAUUAGCCGGAAUACUUCAGCAUGGAAUAAUGGAAUAGGACUUCGGUUCUAUUUUGUUGGUUUUCGGAACCCGAGGUAAUGAUUAAGAGAGACAGACGGGGGCAUUCGUACUGCGGUGUUAGAGGUGAAAUUCUUGGAUCGCCGCAAGACGAACAACUGCGAAAGCAUUUGCCAAGAAUGUUUUCAUUAAUCAAGAACGAAAGUCAGAGGUUCGAAGACGAUCAGAUACCGUCCUAGUUCUGACCAUAAACGAUGCCAACUGGCGAUCCGAGAUCGUUUGCUUAUUGACCUCUCGGGCAGCCUCCGGGAAACCAAAGUUUUUAGGUUCCGGGGGAAGUAUGGUUGCAAAGCUGGAAACUGUUCAAUUGCAACUCUGCCUGUGACACCAAGUGGUCGGGUUACUUGGUCUGUUCUGGCCCGGAGUCGGUAGGGUUUCCGGCCUUGUGCUCUUUCCUUACUGUUCUCUGUAACGCCGAAGGCGGGCUUCCACGGUGGGGAAGCGGUUGUACAAAUCCGGCAAAUCCAGCCAAAUGGGUUCCGGACUCUGUCCAACCUGCAACUGGUAACAGCCUCGGCUGGCUAACAUUUGAGCUGGGACUCGCUUGGGAGGAGCGAGGAUAAUAUAAACCUCUAUGUGACUGAGGUGAGGAAUCUGGUUCUCGUAAAAUGGCUGGAGAUCCCGAGCCUGUAAGUCAUAAAUUAGUUCCCCCACGAGGGGAGGUGUCGAAUUGAAGCCAGUGCGUGCCCUUACUAGUUUAAGGGAUUGUAUACUUCCUUUGGUGUACCCACCUGGAAGUGCCCAAGGGGUCCUAUCCCUGCACUCCAUCCCCGAUUGGAGUCAGGUGACGGCUCCUUA